rnacentral:rRNA from 1 species
AGGUCCUGCCUGCCCAGUGACUAUGUUAAACGGCCGCGGUAUUUUGACCGUGCAAAGGUAGCGCAAUCACUUGUCUUUUAAAUGAAGACCUGUAUGAAUGGUGAAACGAGGGCCUGACUGUCUCCCCUUUCAAGUCAAUGAAAUUGAUCUACCCGUGCAGAAGCGGACAUAUAACUACAAGACGAGAAGACCCUUUGGAGCUUAAGAUUAAAAGUCAACUAUGUCAAAUAUUUAUAAAAUAGAACCAAAUAGCUACUGAUAGUAAUCUUCGGUUGGGGCGACCACGGAAUAAAAAUUAACUUCCACACGGAUUGAGAAAUAAUCUUAAAACCAAGAAAGACACUUCUAAGUCACAGAAUUUCUGACCAUACAGAUCCGGCAAUCUGCCGAUCAAUGGACCAAGUUACCCUAGGGAUAACAGCGCAAUCCCCUUUUAGAGUUCCUAUCGACAAGGGGGUUUACGACCUCGAUGUUGGAUCAGGAC